GAUGGCCGAGUCAGUCAAGGCGAUGUCGACCAAAUGUUGACUCUAGAUCAAGUAAAUGCGGGUUCGAUUCCCGCAAGCAGCA